rnacentral:rRNA from 1 species
UGCGUAGACGGUUAUUUAAGUCGGGUGUGAAAGCCCCGGGCUCAACCUGGGAAUUGCAUUCGAGACUGAAUAGCUAGGGUACGGUAGAGGGAAGCGGAAUUUCCGGUGUAGCGGUGAAAUGCGUAGAUGUCGGAAGGAACAUCAGUGGCGAAAGCGGCUUCCUGGACCAGUACCGACGUUCAGGCACGAAAGCGUGGGGAGGCAAAACA